UUGUGGAGGAGGACGCCGAAGGUGGGGCUAAUGACUGGGGUGAAGUCGUAACAAGGUAGCCGUACCGGAAGGUGCGGCUGGAUCACCUCCUAACAGGGAGACAACAAAAUGUUUAAUAUUAUUUUGUCACCUUAGGUCGAUCGGUAUCUCACAUUCUUAAUUUAUUGAGGAUUUCAAGUCCUAAGUUUUUUCUAGGUCACACCCAUUACUUUUCCUGGGCCAUUAGCUCAGGUGGUUAGAGCGCACCCCUGAUAAGGGUGAGGUCCCUGGUUCAAGUCUAGGAUGGCCCAUAUCUCUAUGUUGGGGGUAUAGCUCAGUUGGUAGAGCGCCUGCUUUGCAAGCAGGAUGUCAGCGGUUCGAGUCCGCUUACCUCCACUGAUUACCACCUCUUGCAUAAACUAUGGAAAUGUUUUGAGUUGUGAUCAAAUCCUGAACGAAUCUAGCUUCCUAAUGAAAUUAUUAAGAUGCUGGACUCAUUGAAUUAAUUUCAUUGUUUUCAGAGAACCUUGACAACUGCAUAGAUUAUUUUAAAGACAUUAAGCAUCUUUAAUGAUGCAGAUUUAUUAUUUGUGCGAAUGCAUUAAUAACAAUUCUAUUAAGCUGAUGCUUCAAUUUUGAAGUUAUUGGUCAAGCUACAA
rnacentral:misc_RNA from 1 species